rnacentral:misc_RNA from 1 species
GCGGUUUCCUGCGCUGCGUACCUACCCGACGGCAUUCGUUGCUGUCCCAACGACCCUCGUUCGUUUAGAGCUCCCCUUUUUGGCGGGGCACAAGGCGAAAGUCGCAGCUUGGUCCGUUACCCACGUCGCGUCCGGCCGUGGUGGCGAACGGGGCGCUGCUGGGGCUCUCGGAUACGGAAAGCAUUGAGGGGCAGUGACAUCUCGUCCUUGCCCGAGCACGCAUUAGAUCGGACCCGAACAACGGUGCACGACUGUCGCUCCCGCAUCGGUUCGGCCGUGCGGGCAGGACGUCGUUGAGAGGAAUGCUACCUGGUUGA